GUCCACGCUGUAAAACGAUGGGCACUAGGUGUUCGGGGUAUUGACCCCCUGAGUGCCGCAGCUAACGCAUUAAGUGCCCCGCCUGGGGACUACGGCCGCAAGGUUAAAACUCAAAGGAAUUGACGGGGGCCCGCACAAGCGGUGGAGCAUGUGGUUCAAUUCGACGCAACGCGAAGAACCUUACCUGGGCUAGACAACAUCGGACAGCUCUAGAAAUAGGGUUUUUCCCGCAAGGGACCGGUGGUUCAGGUGCUGCAUGGCUGUCGU
rnacentral:rRNA from 1 species